GUGGUGGUGAGAGGUGCUGCAGGGGCAGUGGUGGUGAGAGGUGCUGCAUGAGUGGUGGUGGUGACAGCUGCUGCAGGGGCGGUAGUGGUGAGAGGUGCUGCAGGGGCGGUGGUGGUGAGAGGUGCUGCAUGAGUGGUGGUGGUGACAGCUGCUGCAGGGGCGGUGGUGGUGACAGCUGCUGCAGGGGCGGUGGUGGUGAGAGCUGCUGCAGGGGCGGUAGUAGUGAGAGGUGCUGCAGAAGUGGUGGUGGUGACAGCUGCUGCAGGGGGGGUGGUGGUGAAAGCUGCUGCAGGGACGGUAGUGGUGAGAGGUGCUGCAGGGGCAGUGGUGGUGAGAGGUGCUGCAUGAGUGGUGGUGGUGACAGCUGCUGCAGGGGCGGUAGUGGUGAGAGGUGCUGCAGGGGCGGUAGUAGUGAGAGGUGCUGCAGGGGCGGUGGUGGUGACAGCUGCUGCAGGGGCGGUGGUGGUGAGAGGUGCUGCAGGGGCGGUGGUGGUGAGAGGUGCUGCAGGGGCAGUGGUGGUGAGAGGUGCUGCAUGAGUGGUGGUGGUGACAGCUGCUGCAGGGGCGGUAGUGGUGAGAGGUGCUGCAUGAGUGGUGGUGGUGACAGCAGCUGCAGGGGCGGUAGUGGUGAGAGGUGCUGCAUGAGUGGUGGUUGUGACAGAUGCUGCAGGGGCGGUAGUGGUGAGAGGUGCUGCAUGAGUUGUGGUGGUGACAGCUGCUGCAGGGGCGGUGGUGGUACCAGCUGCUGCAGGGGCGGUGGUGGUACCAGCUGCUGCAGGGGCGGUGGUGGUGACAGCUGCUGCAGGGGCGGUGGUGGUGAGAGGUGCUGCAGGGGCGGUGGUGGUACCAGCUGCUGCAGGGGCGGUGGUGGUGACAGCUGCUGCAGGGGCGGUGGUAGUGAGAGGUGCUGC
ensembl:lncRNA